UCAUUUGAUGAAUGGCACUGGGCGCCGACAGUCAACAUAUGACUGGUCUUGAUGGAAAUGCCUUAUUGCGGCAGGCCUAGAAAACCUCGCCCACUGAUU
rnacentral:snoRNA from 1 species